AGGCGCUGUCGUAUAGCUCAGUCGGUAGAGCGCAAAAAACAGGUCUUGACAAAGACCUUAACAGCAACUUAAGCACAUUAAAAGUGGUUGUCGCGGGUUCGAAUCCCGCUGCGCCUG
rnacentral:tRNA from 1 species